AACGAACGCUGGCGGCAGGCUUAACACAUGCAAGUCGAGCGCCCUGCAAGGGGAGCGGCAGCCGGGUGAGUAACGCGUGGGAACGUACCUUUUGGUUCGGAACAACUCCGGGAAACUGGAGCUAAUACCGGAUAAGCCCUAACGGGGAAAGAUUUAUCGCCGAAAGAUCGGCCCGCGUCUGAUUAGCUAGUUGGUGAGGUAACGGCUCACCAAGGCGACGAUCAGUAGCUGGUCUGAGAGGAUGAUCAGCCACACUGGGACUGAGACACGGCCCAGACUCCUACGGGAGGCAGCAGUGGGGAAUAUUGGACAAUGGGCGCAAGCCUGAUCCAGCCAUGCCGCGUGAGUGAUGAAGGCCUUAGGGUUGUAAAGCUCUUUUGUCCGGGAAGAUAAUGACUGUACCGGAAGAAUAAGCCCCGGCUAACUUCGUG
rnacentral:rRNA from 1 species